rnacentral:rRNA from 1 species
CCUACGGGAGGCAGCAGUGAGGAAUAUUGGUCAAUGGACGCAAGUCUGAACCAGCCAUGCCGCGUGCAGGAAGACGGCUCUAUGAGUUGUAAACUGCUUUUGUACGAGGGUAAACGCAGAUACGCGUAUCUGACUGAAAGUAUCGUACGAAUAAGGAUCGGCUAACUCCGUGCAAGCUGCCGCGGUAAUACGGAGGAUACAAGCGUUAUCCGGAGUUAUUGGGUUUAAAGGGUGCGUAGGCGGUCGGAUAAGUUAGAGGUAAAAGCCCGGGGCUAAACUUCGGAAUUGCCUGUGAUACUGUUAGGCUAGAGAGGAGUUGCGGUAGGCGGAAUGUAUGGUGUAGCGGUGAAAUGCUUAGAGAUCAUACAGAACACCGAUUGCGAAGGCAGCUUA